rnacentral:rRNA from 1 species
UAAGCAUAUCAAUAAGCGGAGGAAAAGAAACCAACAGGGAUUGCCUUAGUAACGGCGAGUGAAGCGGCAAAAGCUCAGAUUUGAAAUCUCUUUAAAAUUAAUUAAAGCGAAUUGUAAUCUGUAGAAGGGUGAAUGACUGAAGCUCUGGUUUAAAUUUUCUGGAAUGAAAUAUCAUAGAGGGUGAGAAUCCCGUGAGCACCAGCAUUUAAUGUCAAUUAAUUCCCCUUUCGACGAGUCGAUUAGUUUGAGAAUGCUGAUCUAAAUGGGUGGUAAAUUUCAUCUAAAGCUAAAUAUCUGCCAGAGACCGAUAGCGAACAAGUAGAGUGAUCGAAAGAUGAAAAGCACUUUGAAAAGAGAGUUAAAAAGUACGUGAAAUUGUUGAAAGGGAAGCGCUUGCAAUUAGACUUGAUAAUUUAAUUCGAUCAAUCCAUGGAUUCGAUUUAUUUUUUUAUUAUCAGGCCAGCAUCAGUUUAAUAAAAUUAAUAAAAAUAAUCGGAAUGUAGUAAUUAAUUUAUUAAUUAUGUUAUAGCCUUUUAUAUCAUUAAUUUAUAUUAGACUGAGGUCUGCUCUUUUGAAAGGAUGCUGGCAUAAUGAUUGUAAGCGACCCGUCUUGA